GAUGAUGUCAAGUUCAACAGUUUCUCUUAAAAAAUUAAAUGAACUACUGACAUGAGUAAAAAGACACAACAUUUUGAGAUUUUGAGAUGUGUAUGUUUUUAUUUUUCUCCCACACAAUGACAACUAUUAUGAUGUGAUUUUCCCAUAAAUAAUUUCUAAAAACCCUCCAAAUGCUGUAAAAAGCAGCCCAAAUUUUAAUAACCCGCCCAAAGCUAUUUUAUUCCAGCCCAACAUGUUCAGAAGAAGCUCAACUGGGGGGAAACCAGUGCAGUCUGGCAGCACUUCACAGCUUAUCCCAAUCCCAUAAAGAAAACACUAAUCAACAACAACAACAAAUAUGUCGGAGCAUAAUGUAUACGCAUGAUGGUGCCCCCUUCACUUUUGUGCCUGCCCCCUUAUAUAUGCAGGCCUAGAACCGGCCCUGGAAAAAAGUAACGCAACAGUUACUUUCCCUGUUAACUAGUUACCUUUAUAGUGGAGUAACUCAGUUACUAACUCAGUCAUUUUUUGGGAGAAGUAACUAGUAACUAUAACUAAUUACCUUUUUAAAGUAACAUGCCCAACACUGGUCUUUCCUCGUGUCUUGUAGUUUUUUGUAUCUCUCUUCAGCCCCAUUCAUGAUAAAUAGUACCCAGCCUUAGCCACAGCUACCAUGCAAUUAAGUAGAUUUUGCUCAUCUGCACCACCUCACUUUCUCCAUUGCCUGCACCUGGAACAGGUGACCAAGUCAAGUCAGAGCUUGGUCAUUGUUCUCCAUUGGAAUCUCAUGUUUUCAUGCCUGUUUGUUCUCCCUGGUUCUUCCAGUUUUUUCAUCCGUGUGUCAUGUCAUGUUUUCUUUUUGAGUUUUUUGUUUUAUUAAAACUUUUUCAAAUCAUCAUGCCACUCCCAAGAUCUUGUUUGCACUUUGGUGACACUGAUUUGUGUACAAGUUGUUUGGGUGUUUGUCUAUCUCACUUCCCUCCAGGGUGUGACUGGCAAGUGCAGCCGCCAGCAGCUGCAGCUCACUAGGCUCAUCAGGAGGAGCUUAAAGAGGACCCUGAUCUUUGACACAGAUACCAAAUCAUUUGCUCACAUGAGCGAGCCUCCAAAAGAACGCCUGGAUGUUUUUGCUUGGAACUUCAGAGAUCCGUUUCCUGAGAUUUCUCUUGAAAGGAGAAGGAGAACGAUUAUCUUCCCAAAACCCAAACUCCUGUCGAUCUCAGUUCAGUGAAGUGACUAACCUUUCCCUGGAUCUUCCAACACUUCUAAAACAGUAAGCGCAACUUUUGUCUUACAUUUUCCCUUUCCAUUCAAAUCAUUCUAACUGCUAUCUCUCACCCUAGCCACCUGGAGACCAGCCUUGAGUCCUGCCGAUCUCCUCUUCUCAUUCUUGAUUGGCAAAUGCACUUAAGUAUCUCGGGGUCUUGUUCACGAGUGAGGGAAGAAUGGAGCAGGAGAUCGACAGACGGAUCGGUGCGGCUGCCACAGUAAUGGGGGCGCUGUGCCGGUCCGUUGUGGUGAAGAGAG